AAAACGACUCUCGGCAACGGAUAUCUAGGCUCUCGCAUCGAUGAAGAACGUAGCGAAAUGCGAUACUUGGUGUGAAUUGCAGAAUCCCGCGAAUCAUCGAGUUUUUGAACGCAAGUUGCGCCCGAAGCCAUUCGGCCGAGGGCACGUUUGCCUGGGUGUCACGC
rnacentral:rRNA from 1 species